rnacentral:rRNA from 1 species
UACGUAGGGGGCCAGCGUUGUCCGGAAUCAUUGGGCGUAAAGAGCGUGUAGGCGGCCAGACAGGUCCGUUGUGAAAACUCGAGGCUCAACCUCGAGAUGUCGAUGGAAACCGUCUGGCUUAGAGUCCGGGAAGAGGAGUGUGGAAUUCCUGGUGUAGCGGUGAAAUGCGCAGAUAUCAGGAGGAACACCGAUAGCGAAGGCAGCUCGCUGGGACGGUACUGACGCUGAGGUGCGAAAGCGUGGGGAGCGAACAGG